CAGCAUUACCUCCAAUCAGACUCACAACCAGCAGCAGAGCGUCAGUGACUCAUGUUUGACAAGUGAAACACACGGACUGACAAUACUACUACAACUUAUUUUACAACUUUUUCUGACAAUCAUAAAAACUUGGAAGAAGCUGGUCCAUCAUGUUAGAAAUCCUUACUCUCUACUCAAGACUCUUGUUUGUCUUUGCGCUGGUCUGUGCAGCUGUCAUGUCGUUUAUCAUGCGUUCAGAUGCUGCAAGAGCCAUUCCCAUAAUAACCCAAGUGGACAAGGGAGUGAAGCACAAUGUCUUGAGACGGUUGUACACUCCUUACAGUCAACAUCUUCCCCUUUUUACUGGUCUGCUAUCAACCGCAACUGGACUCCAACGUGAAACUAAUAGUGAAACUGAGACAAGCAGCAAUUAUAGAGAAGCCCUGUCAAUCACUGACCAUCAGUCAAACCUUCCACAGUUUACAGAAGGUAGCUUUAGUUACCAUCAGAACAUCCCAGAUAACAAACAGGCCCAAGCAGGAAUUAGUAGAGUGUGGAGUGGAGUGAGGCCAGCAAGCAGUCUUGAGAAACGUCAAUCCAGAGUAAAUCACCCACUCUCUCAGAAAGUUGCCCAAAAUGGAAAUUCCUAUAAUUCAGUGAUUAUUAGAAAACCAUCUCACAAAGAAGCUGCCAGUCCCUUUUAUCAGAGCUCCA